AUCCAGCUGAUGAGUUCCAAAUAGGAUGAAACGUGCGUUUUAGAU
rnacentral:hammerhead_ribozyme from 1 species